GUCCUACCGUGUCUUCCUCUUCAAUCAUUGGCACAAGAGCUAUUUUAGCCUUGGUCGAUUUAGCUAGUUUCCUGUGUUGCAUACCUACGUUGAUGGAAUUCGUUAGGCAAUUAUUCCCACGUYCGCUYAAUGCUUCCCGCUUUCACGGUGCGGYAUCGGGUGAACAUCAAAGUGAAAUUCGUGUUCCGCUUCGCACUCGCAUUGCGUCGUCGUUGCGGCCCACGYUUUUUGCUUGGCCUUCGGGAUGCAGAAAACGCUGMGGGUAUGGGGUCCUUGACCUCUAUUGCCCACAAUUUCGCAUUACAUGCCCCAUUCGAAUGACAUUCGGUGUCGCAUAGAUGCUUGCCAUCUUGCGUCUCCGAUGUCUCCGAGGARUGCUACCUGGUUGAUCCUGCCAGUAGUCAUAUGCUUGUCUCAAAGA
rnacentral:misc_RNA from 1 species